GGUUGGGGAAUGCGAAUAGACAGUUUCAGGUGUUACUUUCAUGACCAAACGCGCAUCAAACGAGCAAAUAAGUGAGGAAGAACAACUUCUGGUAAUAUUAGCAUAUUUUCCGCGUUCGGACGCAUCUGCUGCCGUCACUGUGUAAUAUUGACGAAUGACUCACAAUGUAAUUGAACGGAGCGGCGGGCGGCGACAUCCUGCCCAUACCCGGAAUUAAAAUCCCAACUUCUAGGAUAAUUUUCGGGCCGACAAUUCUUGUUCAACAAACGAAUUUAUCAAUCAAAAAAUAAGUGGUGCGUUAUAAAGCAAUCUCGGAGCUAUAUUGGAACGGGACUGCCUGUCUCAUUUUCUUUCUACAAAUACAACCGUGGCACACACACGCUCAUCGUGUGGACACGCAACUCACGUGUGUCACGCACUUUGAGUAAGACAUCAUCAAAGUUGCGUACGCGCAUUCGACACACACGAUCUAAUUAGGCACGUACAUACAUUGAUUGUUUAUUACCAUAGUCUAGAUGGUCACAGGAAUGCAAAGCAGUUACGCGGCCAGAGAAAACUUACAAAAAACUGUAACGGGAAGUAAACCCACACAGCCCAAACGACAUAUCAAAAAACUAAUUUGUUAAUAAAGACGAUUAAUAAUUAAUUCUACUUAAAGAACCACAAACAAGCCAUUUUUCGGCAGCUUUCUGUAAAUUGUUUCCAAGAACGGGUCGCCAGGAGCCACAGUAAUUGUGCCUCAACAGGCCGUUUAAGUUGCAAUUUACGUACACUGCUUGCUGACUUGAAAUAACUAGGUGAUGAAAUGUAAAGCGUUUUGAAGUCAGAAGCUGAACGAAAAAAUUAUGAACCCGAAUUUUAAAUCCAUUUUUAGACAAAAUCAUUCAUCAAAAGGUAUUGACAUCGACAAACGGUCAACGAAAACGUCAAAUGCCACUGCGAAAGUAUCACUUUAUUCUGAUAUUUUGUAGAAUACAUUUUUUUCUUUAAACAUAUUUUAAGCAAUUGCAUAAAAAGAAUGAAAACACAAUAAUUAUUCAUAUCAGAGGACUACCUAGGAAUUGUCUCCUCUGUGAAAAUACCAGUGUGCCAAAAAACUUCGCCCUUUCGUUACAUGAAACGAAACCGUCGUCACUACAACUAAAGAAAGGGAAAACGCAGCAAAUGGAAUAGGUCUUGACUCUGGUAUUGCAGACAAAUGAUUGUGUUUUACCUAGUUAAUGGCUAAAAAUAGAAAAAAACUCACCCUUAACCGAAGAAGUCAUAGACGUGCACUGAUCGUUUUAUCUGCAAAAGAGAACAAAACCGUAAGGCCACAAAGACGUGCGCUGCAACAAUACGCCAUCACUUUCGAAUGCGCUUAUUUGGACGGAAUUUAUUCGAUUGAAAUUCUCUCUCACACAAGCAAUUCGGGCGCACAAUAUGACUAAAUUGAAUAUUAGAGAAUGCAAACGAAAAUUGAAUAAUAAAACGGGAUGGCAUCGGGGGGCAGGUAAUAAAUUUAAUCCCCUAAUUUGGCAAGAAGGGCGCGUCUAUUGUACCAAGACCCCUCAUUCCGUAUUAUUUAAUAUGUCCCACGAUUUCAGUGCGUUUUGGAUUAACGACCAUCGCGCAAUUUUGAUUUAUCGAUCAAGCCGAAGAUUAUGGGGAAUGCAGCAGGUGGGGAUCGCAAUUAACAUGGAAAUGUAUAUUGUGUUGCUUUAAUUGAGAUAUUUAAAUUUUAAAUAUGGUUUGAUUACUUCUUUUGUUUUCGUUUAUUCAUUAUUUAGCAAGCUUGAUGCUUGCGCUUACUCCGGGUUAAAUUAUUUGCCUUUAUUUACAU